rnacentral:rRNA from 1 species
GGGUUGUGAGGUUAAGCGACUAAGCGUACACGGUGGAUGCCCUGGCAGUCAGAGGCGAUGAAGGACGUGCUAAUCUGCGAUAAGCGCCGGUAAGGUGAUAUGAACCGUUAUAACCGGCGAUUUCCGAAUGGGGAAACCCAGUGUGAUUCGUCACACUAUCAUUAACUGAAUCCAUAGGUUAAUGAGGCGAACCGGGGGAACUGAAACAUCUAAGUACCCCGAGGAAAAGAAAUCAACCGAGAUUCCCCCAGUAGCGGCGAGCGAACGGGGAGGAGCCCAGAGCCUGAAUCAGCAUGUGUGUUAGUGGAAGCGUCUGGAAAGACGCGCGAUACAGGGUGACAGCCCCGUACACAAAAGCGCAUGUGCUGUGAGCUCGAUGAGUAGGGCGGGACACGUGGUAUCCUGUCUGAAUAUGGGGGGACCAUCCUCCAAGGCUAAAUACUCCUGACUGACCGAUAGUGAACCAGUACCGUGAGGGAAAGGCGAAAAGAACCCCGGCGAGGGGAGUGAAAAAGAACCUGAAACCGUGUACGUACAAGCAGUGGGAGCCCCACCACUAAGCCAGUGGUGAACUCCACAUACGCAUCCUUUGCUGAGGAUACGGUUAACGGAGCGAAAGCGACGUUCAACCUCAAAAGAAGCAGAGGGGGCUUAGUGGUGGGGUGACUGCGUACCUUUUGUAUAAUGGGUCAGCGACUUAUAUUCUGUAGCAAGGUUAACCGAAUAGGGGAGCCGGAGGGAAACCGAGUCUUAACCGGGCGUUAAGUUGCAGGGUAUAGACCCGAAACCCGGUGAUCUAGCCAUGGGCAGGUUGAAGGUUGGGUAACACUAACUGGAGGACCGAACCGACUAAUGUUGAAAAAUUAGCGGAUGACCUGUGGCUGGGGGUGAAAGGCCAAUCAAACCGGGAGAUAGCUGGUUCUCCCCGAAAGCUAUUUAGGUAGCGCCUCGUGAACUCAUCUCCGGGGGUAGAGCACUGUUUCGGCUAGGGGGCCAUCCCGGCUUACCAACCCGAUGCAAACUGCGAAUACCGGAGAAUGUUAUCACGGGAGACACACGGCGGGUGCUAACGUCCGUCGUGAAGAGGGAAACAACCCAGACCGCCAGCUAAGGUCCCAAAGUCAUGGUUAAGUGGGAAACGAUGUGGGAAGGCCCAGACAGCCAGGAUGUUGGCUUAGAAGCAGCCAUCAUUUAAAGAAAGCGUAAUAGCUCACUGGUCGAGUCGGCCUGCGCGGAAGAUGUAACGGGGCUAAACCAUGCACCGAAGCUGCGGCAGCGAACGUAUCACCCAAGACAACUUUACGGAGUUGACGAUUGACGGAGCGAAGCGACGUCAAAGCGUUCAUUAAAGUCGAGUUGGCUUAGGGAUACGUUCGUUGGGUAGGGGAGCGUUCUGUAAGCCUGUGAAGGUGGCCUGUGAGGGUUGCUGGAGGUAUCAGAAGUGCGAAUGCUGACAUAAGUAACGAUAAUGCGGGUGAAAAACCCGCACGCCGGAAGACCAAGGGUUCCUGUCCAACGUUAAUCGGGGCAGGGUGAGUCGACCCCUAAGGCGAGGCCGAAAGGCGUAGUCGAUGGGAAACAGGUUAAUAUUCCUGUACUUGGUGUUACUGCGAAGGGGGGACGGAGAAGGCUAUGUUAGCCGGGCGACGGUUGUCCCGGUUUAAGCAUGUAGGCGGAGGUUCCAGGUAAAUCCGGUACCUUAUUAACGCUGAGGUGUGAUGACGAGGCACUACGGUGCUGAAGUAACAAAUGCCCUGCUUCCAGGAAAAGCCUCUAAGCAUCAGGUAACAUCAAAUCGUACCCCAAACCGACACAGGUGGUCAGGUAGAGAAUACCAAGGCGCUUGAGAGAACUCGGGUGAAGGAACUAGGCAAAAUGGUGCCGUAACUUCGGGAGAAGGCACGCUGACACGUAGGUGAAGU